rnacentral:rRNA from 1 species
GGAGUUUGGACCGUGUCUCAGUUCCAAUGUGGGGGACCUUCCUCUCAGAACCCCUACUGAUCGUCGGCUUGGUGGGCCGUUACCCCGCCAACAACCUAAUCAGACGCAUCCCCAUCCUAUAGCGGUAAACCUUUGGUAUUCUUCAGAUGUCCUCUAAAUACAACAUAGAGUAUUAAUCCGACUUUCGCCGGGCUAUCCUCUACUAUAGGGAAGGUUGGAUACGCGUUACUCACCCGUGCGCCGGUCGCCGUCAUACUGGUGCAAGCACCUGUACACGCUGCCCCUCGACUUGCAUGUGUUAAGCCUGUAGCUAGCGUUCAUC